UACAGAGGGGGCGAGCGUUGUUCGGAAUUACUGGGCGUAAAGGGCGCGUAGGCGGCCUUCUAAGUCGAACGUGAAAUCCCCGGGCUCAACCCGGGAACUGCGUCCGAUACUGGGAGGCUUGAAUCCGGGAGAGGGAUGUGGAAUUCCAGGUGUAGCGGUGAAAUGCGUAGAUAUCUGGAGGAACACCGGUGGCGAAGGCGGCAUCCUGGACCGGUAUUGACGCUGAGGCGCGAACGCCAGGGGAGCAAACGGG
rnacentral:rRNA from 1 species